rnacentral:tRNA from 1 species
CAAGGGAUAGUUUAUUUAGAAUAUUAAUUUUGGGGAUUAAAGGAUUAUUCUUUUGA